AGUGAUUAGAGACACCAUCCCCUGAAAUUUAGUGGGAUUUUUUUUCCAUUAGCUUAUUUGAAAGUUAUUACCUAGUAUAUUCUUAAGGUUAGCUGUGAAACUUAGAUGACUAUAUCAAGCAACAAAUGAAUAAGAAACGCGAGUGUGUUUUAGUUAAGUGAAUGGACAAUUUAGGGGUCGAACUUGAAGUGCAAUGCUUGAGCUGAAACAAAAGUACAAAGGUCCAGUUGUUCAGUAUUCUUGAUUGUUGUUGCUGUCUCUGGGUUUUAACUGCCUUUUAUGUUUAGUCUACCUACAUAACAUUUGAAUACCCCUUAAUUUCCAAAAAAACCAUCACUUAUGUCAUCGUUGAAUCGGUUUUAAGUCCAUUUAAGAUUUUACUCGCAUACUACAGUUCACAAAUUUCCUGCUAAUCCUCAUUUUAACUUUGUUAUCAGCAACUUUAGCGAUUUGCAGUAAACAUUCUUUGGGAAUUUACUCAAUGAUAGAGUUAUUGUUUUACUUUUACUCAUGUAACGAUUUCUGUUGUUUGCAGGAAACGUUUCUUCCGAAGAACCCAUCCUGGAAUUCUGUCGUGUACAAAGAGGGUGGCCAAUCUAAUAUGUAAACUUACUAAACACCUAGAUGUUCUAAACGCUUGUAUGUUUUCAUCAAAAUCUAGCCAUGCUGCGAUUAAGCGGCUCUGCUACCCAGAAUAACUGUGUUUGGAUUCAUGUCAGAGUACCAAAUUUGAUUAAUAAAAACUGGUGUUUGGUAAUUGAUUUUUUCGCUUCAAUUCUCGCUUUCACUGGAAGCGAUAUAAAAUCGUUAUUGUAUGAGAUUGAAAAUUUUACAGUAAGUUUAUAUCAAACUUGUCUUUAGAAUAAAAAUAUUCAAACAUAAUUUUACAGCAAGUUCAGUGCAACAACAAGACUUCUGCUUUCUCAAUUAUUAGUAAAUUAGUGGUUCCUACAUUUUAGGAGUAAGCUAUUGGCAAGUGGGUAGUGAUCAAUUUUUCUUUUUCAAAGUACUUAAGUU
rnacentral:lncRNA from 1 species